rnacentral:tRNA from 1 species
GUUCCCAUCGUCUAGUGGCCUAGGACACCUCCCUUUCACGGAGGAUACACCGGUUCGAAUCCGGUUGGGAACGCCA